rnacentral:rRNA from 1 species
CCAAUAGCGUAUAUUAAAGUUGUUGCAGUUAAAAAGCUCGUAGUUGAAUUUCGGGAUCAGUACGCCGGUCGUGCCUCGGUAUGUACUGGUGUUACUGGUUCCUACCUUCUGACGAACCGUCAUGUCAUUAAUUUGGUGUGGCGGGGAAUCAGGACUGUUACUUUGAAAAAAUUAGAGUGUUUAAAGCAGGCUCGCGCUUGAAUACAUUAGCAUGGAAUAAUGAAAUAGGACGUUCGAUCCUAUUUUGUUGGUUUCUAGGAUUGACGUAAUGAUUAAUAGGGAUAGUUGGGGGCAUUAGUAUUCAAUUGUCAGAGGUGAAAUUCUUGGAUUUAUUGAAGACUAACUACUGCGAAAGCAUUUGCCAAGGAUGUUUUCAUUAAUCAAGAACGAAAGUUAGGGGAUCGAAGACGAUCAGAUACCGUCGUAGUCUUAACCAUAAACUAUGCCGACUAGGGAUCGGAUGAUGUUAUUUUUAAUGACUCAUUCGGCGCCUUAC